rnacentral:lncRNA from 1 species
GGUUAAAUAGACAAGAGGAGACCAAAUGGAGGUCCUAACCUUAAAUCAAAUUCCAGAAGAUGUUUUCAAUAUCAAAGGUUAGACCUUUUGAUUCAUAGUAAUGCUAUAUUUUUCUUUGUCUGCCCUGUGAUUUGCUUCAUGUUUUUAAAAGUUUUUUAUGGUAGCUUUAAAGAAAAGAAAAACAAUGUAUUUUUAUUUGAAAAUCAGGCAAAUGGGCAACAUCAUUUGCCGGUCACUUUACACAUAACCAGGAUGUUAGUGUUUCAGCUCUGUUAGUAAGUGACCAAGGGUAGUAUUUCCCUCGUUACACACAAUUCAGCAUCUGUAUUG